UAAAAUACCAAAAAUCUUAUGAUUCUCUUUGUUCUUCAAAGAACCCUAGAAUUCUCAGUUCCUCAAUUCAUUAGUUCAUCUUCACUCUUCAGUUCAUCACUUCAUCCUCACUCAAUAACCCAACCAGCCAACCCUAUUUGAUUAUAUUCUUCUUCUUGAUUCCAACUUCAAAUUCUUCUAUCUCGAUUAUGAACCAAAGUUCAUUCGACAAAUCGUUGAUGUAGAGGUUGUCAUACUCGAUCAUCGCUAGGGAGCUGGUACUUGAAGCAGGUGUUGUGGGUUUCGCAUAAGAAGUAGAGCUUGGAAAUUAAGGCAAAGAGCUUGAUGUUGCGAUCGAUGUCUACGCCAUAUAAGUUCCUAGAUUUCUAUUUUUCUUCAUCUUUCUUUUUGGGUUUAACUUGUUUGGCUCCCAAAAUGUUCAUUUUGGGUUCAAACAUAACUCUUGCUCUCUUUUCUUCUAUUUUGGUUUACGAGUUUCUUUCUUAUCUUCUUCUUCUUCUCGGUCCACGCAUCAAAGAUCGAAAUCCAAACCGAGUCUAAUUAAUUCAGUCUUGUUCGGUUUCUGAUGUUAGAAAGCUUCAUUUCAACUCGACCCGUUAAAAUUGGGCUCGGUCCCGAUUCUGAACCGUGCCCACCCCGAGUUUUGGAGGGUAGAAGUGUAAAAUACAAUGAGCAAUUAUAGGCCCGUGUAAAAAGUAUGUAAUCUCUGUCUAUAUAUGGCGGUGACUUGACUUCCACUUAUAAUAAUAUCGGCCGCUGCUGCAAAUAGGGUUGGGUCUUCUUUCUUCUUCUAGCUCUCGAUUUCCGACCAAACCUUCCGCCCUAGAUCGCAGCCAUGUCGUCCAAGCAAGGUGGAAAGGCAAAGCCUUUGAAGCAACCCAAGGCUGAGAAGAAGGAGUACGACGAGGAUGAUUUGGCUAACCUUCAGACGAAGAAGGAUGAGGAGAAGG